UACGUAGGGCGCAAGCGUUGUCCGGAAUUAUUGGGCGUAAAGAGCUCGUAGGCGGUCUGUCACGUCUGCCGUGAAAACCCGAGGCUUAACCUCGUGGCUUGCGGUGGAUACGGGCAGACUAGAGGUAGGUAGGGGAGAACGGAAUUCCGGUGUAGCGGUGAAAUGCGCAGAUAUCGGGAGGAACACCGGUGGCGAAGGCGGUUCUCUGGACGGUACUGACGCUGAGACGCGAAGCGUGGGAGCAAACAGG
rnacentral:rRNA from 1 species